CUUUUGUCGCUACUCUGUAAACUUAUGCUGAGGCAUUGCGGUGUUGUCCAUCAUAGGGUUGUGUAUUCGUGCUUGCAUUCCAUGCUCGGAGUUUGCAACUGCCUCGUUUUGUCAUUUCAGUCUUUUCUUUUUCAGGUUACGGAUGACGAAGUUCAGAAGAGCUUAUUUCUU